UACGUAGGUGGCAAGCGUUGUCCGGAAUUACUGGGCGUAAAGAGCGCGCAGGCGGCUGGUCAAGUCCGAUGUGAAAGCUCCCGGCUUAACUGGGAAAUUGCAUCGGAAACUGAUCGGCUUGAAGGUGGGAGAGGGUAGUGGAAUUCCCGGUGUAGCGGUGAAAAUGCGUAGAUAUCGGGAGGAACACCUGUGGCGAAAGCGGCUCACUGGACCACAACUGACGCUGAGGCGCGAAAGCUAGGGGAGCAAACAGG
rnacentral:rRNA from 1 species